GACAGAGGGUGCAAACGUUGUUCGGAAUUACUGGGCGUAAAGCGCGUGUAGGCGGCCCUGCAAGUCGGAUGUGAAAUCCCACGGCUCAACCGUGGAAGUGCCUCGGAUACUGGGAGUCUCGAGGGUGGCAGGGGUAUGCGGAACUAUCGGUGGAGCGGUGAAAUGCGUUGAUAUCGAUAGGAACUCCGGUGGCGAAGGCGGCAUACUGGUCCACUUCUGACGCUGAGGCGCGAAAGCCAGGGGAGCAAACGGG
rnacentral:rRNA from 1 species